CCUACGGGUGGCAGCAGUGAGGAAUAUUGGUCAAUGGGCGCGAGCCUGAACCAGCCAAGUAGCGUGAAGGAUGACUGCCCUACGGGUUGUAAACUUCUUUUAUAAAGGAAUAACGUGAGUCACGUGUGCCUUUUUGUAUGUAUUUUAUGAAUAAGGAUCGGCUAACUCCGUGCCAGCAGCCGCGGUAAUACGGAGGAUCCGAGCGUUAUCCGGAUUUAUUGGGUUUAAAGGGAGCGUAGAUGGGUUGUUAAGUCAGUUGCGAAAGUUUGCGUCUCAACCGUAAAAUUGCAAUUGAUACUGGCAGCCUAGAGUACAGUUGAGGUAGGCGGAAUGCGUGGUGUAGCGGUGAAAUGCUUAGAUAUCACGAAGAACUCCGAUUGCGAAGGCAGCCUACUAAGCUGCCACUGACAUUGAUGCUCGAAAGUGUGGGUAUCAAACAGGAUUAGAUACCCUGGUAGUC
rnacentral:rRNA from 1 species